GUGGUGCAGAAAUCCCCAGACGAACGCUGAACGAUCUAGCUCCAGACCUUGAACCAAAACAGCCACGCUUGCAUGGAGCUGCUGACAGCGAGCCUCCAUGAGCUCGGGACCACCAUGCAGUGCUCUGCUGGUUGGAUGGUGCUGGGAUUCAAGGAUUCAAGUCAACCUGAGCCUAACCUGCAGCACAGAUCAAAAGAAACCGAUGAAGGCAAACGCCUAUGAGACGAAGAAGAACAAGGCAUGGCUGAGUCACUUUAAUGCCCACUACAUAUCCUUGGUACUCCGAAGUUAGAGGCAGACGAAAGCUGGUUGGACUUCAUUCCUCUCAUCAAAUGUCAGAAAUGUUGUUAAAUGGAAGGGAAAAAUCCUGUGGUUUAUAGGAAGGAAACCAGAAGUCACCUAAAAGAUGCAAAAAUACUCCAGUGCCACCUUGUGCUACAGCCACCAGCAGGAUGAGAAGAUGGAUGUGAACC